rnacentral:rRNA from 1 species
CGUUCCAGCAAGUCCGCGGUAAUACGGGGAGUGGCCAAGGGUUUUCCGGAAUUUAUUGGGCGUAAAGCGUCCCGCCAGGCGGCCCCUCCAAGUCCUGUGUUAAAACGGGGAAGCUUAACUCCAUCAUGGCAGUGGAAACUGUUGGGCUUGAGUGUGGUAGGGGCAGAAGGGAAUUCCCGGUGUAGCGGUGAAAUGCGUAGAUAUCGGGAAGAACACCCAGUGGCGAAGGCGGCUCUGUUGGGCCAUCACUGACGCUCAUGGACGAAAGCCAGGGGAGCGAAAAGGGAUUAGAUACCCCCGUAGUCCUGGCCGUAAACGAUGAACACUAGGGUGUCGGGGGAAUCGACCCCCUCGGUGUCGUAGCCAACGCGUUAAGUGUUCCGCCUGGGGAGUACGCACGCAAGUGUGAAACUCAAAGGAAUUGACGGGGGCCCGCACAAGCGGUGGAGUAUGUGGUUUAAUUCGAUGCAACGCGAAGAACCUUACCAGGGUUUGACAUCCUGCGAAUCUCUUGGAAACGAGAGAGUGCCUUCGGGAGCGCAGUGACAGGUGGUGCAUGGCUGUCGUCAGCUCGUGUCGUGAGAUGUUGGGUUAAGUCCCGCAACGAGCGCAACCCACGUCUUUAGUUGCCAGCAUUCAGUUGGGCACUCUAGAGAGACCGCCGGUGAUAAACCGGAGGAAGGUGUGGAUGACGUCAAGUCAUCAUGCCCCUUACAUCCUGGGCUACACACGUACUACAAUGCUACGGACAAAGGGCAGCAAGUUCGCGAGGACAAGCAAAUCCCAUAAACCGUGGCUCAGUUCAGAUCGUAGGCUGCAACUCGCCUACGUGAAGGAGGAAUCGCUAGUAAUCGCAGGUCAGCAUACUGCGGUGAAUACGUUCCCGGGCCUUGUACACACCGCCCGUCACACCAUGGAAGUUGGCCACGCCCGAAGCCGUUACUCCAACCCCUUGUG